rnacentral:rRNA from 1 species
UACGAAGGGGGCUAGCGUUGCUCGGAAUUACUGGGCGUAAAGCGCACGUAGGCGGAUUGUUAAGUCGGGGGUGAAAUCCUGGAGCUCAACUCCAGAACUGCCUUCGAUACUGGCGAUCUCGAGUUCGGGAGAGGUGGAGUGGAACUGCGAGUGUAGAGGUGAAAUUCGUAGAUAUUCGCAAGACACCAGUGGCGAAGGCGGCUCACUGGCCCGAU